UACAGAGGGUGCGAACGUUGCUCGGAAUUACUGGGCGUAAAGCGCGUGUAGGCGGAGCCGCAAGUCGGGUGUGAAAUCCCCAGGCUUAACCUGGGAACUGCAUUCGAGACUGCAUUGCUAGAGUAUGGGAGAGGGAAGUGGAAUUUCCGGUGUAGCGGUGAAAUGCGUAGAUAUCGGAAGGAACAUCAGUGGCGAAAGCGACUUCCUGGACCAAUACUGACGCUCAUGUGCGAAAGCGUGGGGAGCGAACAGG
rnacentral:rRNA from 1 species